rnacentral:rRNA from 1 species
GUCAGCUCGUGUCGUGAGAUGUUGGGUUAAGUCCCGCAACGAGCGCAACCCUCGCCUUCAGUUGCCAGCAGGUUGGGCUGGGCACUCUGGAGGAACUGCCGGUGACAAGCCGGAGGAAGGUGGGGAUGACGUCAAGUCCUCAUGGCCCUUAUGUCCUGGGCUACACACGUGCUACAAUGGCGGUGACAGAGGGAAGCGAGGCUGUGAGGCUGAGCCGAUCCCGAAAAGCCGUCUCAGUUCAGAUUGCACUCUGCAACUCGAGUGCAUGAAGGCGGAAUCGCUAGUAAUCGCGGAUCAGCAUGCCGCGGUGAAUACGUUCCCGGG